rnacentral:rRNA from 1 species
GAUGAACGCUGGCGGCGUGCCUAAUACAUGCAAGUCGAGCGAACGGACGAGAAGCUUGCUUCUCUGAUGUUAGCGGCGGACGGGUGAGUAACACGUGGAUAACCUACCUAUAAGACUGGGAUAACUUCGGGAAACCGGAGCUAAUACCGGAUGAUAUUUUGAACCGCAUUGUUCAAAAGUGAAAGACGGUCUUUCUGUCACUUAUAGAUGGAUCCGCGCUGCAUUAGCUAGUUGGUAAGGUAACGGCUUACCAAGGCAACGAUGCAUAGCCGACCUGAGAGGGUGAUCGGCCACACUGGAACUGAGACACGGUCCAGACUCCUACGGGAGGCAGCAGUAGGGAAUCUUCCGCAAUGGGCGAAAGCCUGACGGAGCAACGCCGCGUGAGUGAUGAAGGUCUUCGGAUCGUAAAACUCUGUUAUUAGGGAAGAACAUAUGUGUAAGUAACUGUGCACAUCUUGACGGUACCUAAUCAGAAAGCCACGGCUAACUACGUG